UACGUAGGGCGCAAGCGUUGUCCGGAAUUAUUGGGCGUAAAGAGCUCGUAGGCGGUCUGUUACGUCCGCUGUGAAAACCCAGGGCUUAACCCUGGGCUUGCAGUGGAUACGGGUAGACUAGAGGCAGGUAGGGGAGAAUGGAAUUCCCGGUGUAGCGGUGAAAUGCGCAGAUAUCGGGAGGAACACUGGUGGCGAAGGCGGUUCUCUGGGCCUGACCUGACGCUGAGGAGCGAAAGCGUGGGGAGCGAACAGG
rnacentral:rRNA from 1 species